UACGUAGGGGGCAAGCGUUAUCCGGAUUUACUGGGUGUAAAGGGAGCGUAGACGGCCAGACAAGUCUGAAGUGAAAAUCCAGCGCUUAACGUUGGAAGUGCUUUGGAAACUGCCGGGCUAGAGUGCAGGAGGGGCAGGCGGAAUUCCUAGUGUAGCGGUGAAAUGCGUAGAUAUUAGGAGGAACACCAGUGGCGAAGGCGGCCUGCUGGACAGUAACUGACGUUGAGGCUCGAAAGCGUGGGGAGCAAACAGG
rnacentral:rRNA from 1 species